rnacentral:rRNA from 1 species
UGAGUAACACGUGGGCAACCUGCCCUUUGCACUGGGAUAGCCUCGGGAAACCGAGGUUAAUACCGGAUACUCCAUAUUUGUCGCAUGGCGAAUAUGGGAAAAGCUCCGGCGGCAAAGGAUGGGCCCGCGGCCUGUUAGCUAGUUGGUGGGGUAGUGGCCUACCAAGGCAAUGAUGGGUAGCCGGGUUGAGAGACCGACCGGCCAGAUUGGGACUGAGACACGGCCCAGACUCCUACGGGAGGCAGCAGGA